AGUGAACGCUGGCGGUAGGCCUAACACAUGCAGGUCGAACGGCAGCACAGUAAGAGCUUGCUCUUACGGGUGGCGAGUGGCGGACGGGUGAGGAAUACAUCGGAAUCUACUUUUUCGUGGGGGAUAACGUAGGGAAGCUUACGCUAAUACCGCAUACGACCUACGGGUGAAAGCAGGGGAUCUUCGGACCUUGCGCGAUUGAAUGAGCCGAUGUCGGAUUAGCUAGUUGGCGGGGUAAAGGCCCACCAAGGCGACGAUCCGUAGCUGGUCUGAGAGGAUGAUCAGCCACACUGGAACUGAGACACGGUCCAGACUCCUACGGGAGGCAGCAGUGGGGAAUAUUGGACAAUGGGCGCAAGCCUGAUCCAGCCAUACCGCGUGGGUGAAGAAGGCCUUCGGGUUGUAAAGCCCUUUUGUUGGGAAAGAAAAGCAGCAGGUUAAUACCCCGCUGUUCUGACGGUACCCAAAGAAUAAGCACCGGCUAACUUCGUG
rnacentral:rRNA from 1 species